AGGUGCGAUCAUACCAGCACUAAUGCACCGGAUUCCAUCAGAACUUCGCAGCUAAGCGUGCUUGGGCGAGAGUAGUACUAGGAUGGGUGACCUCCUGGGAAGUCCUCGUGUUGCACCUC
rnacentral:rRNA from 2 species